CGGUGCAAGGUGUGGCCUUCACGCUUAUUGCCCAUCGCUUUCACAUUGACGUGUGCCUCUGCUGCUGCUGUAGUGUCCGCAUCUCUCAUCUUUUUUUUUGCGUUGCUUGUAAGGCACUUAUAUCCGCCUUUGAAGUGCGCCUACGUUUUGCAUGUGUGUGUGUAUGCAUUGUGUGUUUUGGUGCUCUUCGCUAAUAAUAAGUCUCAUCCCCUUCAUGCGCGACGUGCGUCUGAACACGCGUUCACGCACGUGCGUUUUGGCGUGCUCAGACUUCUGUCUCCGUUUUUCGCUGUUCGCUUUACAGUAUAUUGCACAUAUAUAUAUGUGCUAUUUAUAAUAAUAAUAUAUAUACACCUAUAUGUAUUUAUUUAUAUAUAUAUAUUUUUUUUGGUUUUGCUGAUCGUUUUAUCGUCGGAGCGAAACGCUGUGCAUCAACGAGCAGCGUCUGACAUCUACCGCGAUAGGACACAGGUGAGAGAAGCGAGAAAGAAUAUUCCCACAAGAGCCUCACCGGGUUCUACGAAGUUGUGCUUUCAAGUAGGAUGAACACGGCGACUGUGAUGAUGGCGCGCGGCCCGGUCACCCCACACCGCCGCCUUAGUAGAUGCACCAGCGCGCUCUGUUGUGCCAUCGCGAUCGCACUGUUUUGUGCUCUUUGUUGCGAAGUCAGCGCGCUGGAGGUGGGCAAGUUUUUUCCCGCCAAGACGCGCAUGAGCGCGAAGGAUCGUUACGAAUCUGUUCUGGCGCUGCAGUCUCUGCAGCGCGCGAUCGACGACCCUGAGCUGCAAAAGGAGGUAGAGUCCGCGCUCAAGGACACAACGAGGGGCUUCGACAUGUGCCGAUCGGCGCUGUACCGCUGCAACCGCGUGACCGGCGCUCUCGAGGAGGCGGUCAUCGAGGGCAUGCGAGACGGAACUGUGAAGUGGGACGAGUAUCCCAAGUCGGUGAAGCGGAUCCGCAUCACGGACUCGAGGCUGAGGCAGCCACUCGUGCUCUCCAGCUUACCUGCGAACCUUGAGGAAUUCGUGGCAACGAACGUGGAGUGGGAGUCCGACUCGAUUCUUCAGGCCCCAGGGAGUGGCGAGGGGGGAGUUGUGAAGGGGCCCUUGGCUCAUCUUCGCGUUUUGCAAUGUGACAACUGCGCUCUCGUGAAGGCAGAGGUGACGACGACGACACCCCAGCUGGAGUGGCUGCAGGUGUUGAGCCUUUCCGGCAAUCCAGACUUGUUCAUCGAUCUCCGCGAGCUGCCGCGCAACCUCCAAUCUCUGCAGCUCUCGUACACACAGCUGGCUCACUCCACGGUCAGGGAGGUAUUGGAGACUGCGCCGGCGUUUCUCUCGCUGCUGAAUAUCAGCUUCACCGGUGUUGCUCUGACCCUCGACAUGCUGCCGUCUGCACGGAAUCAGCUGAAGGCGUUGGAUGUGUCCGGCCUGGAAAGCAACAACCCGGGGUCACCUCUGUCUCUCUCUCAGCUGCAAAGCGCGUGUGGCGAAAGUGGCUUCAGCCUCGCAGAACUGUACCUCACCAGGUGCAGCCUGACGGGCACCCUCCCUCACCUUCGUAACUGCACGAAGCUGAAGGUGAUGGAUGUGUCGCACAACCUCCUCGAUGGCGCCGUGUUCGCUCAACUCCCCGAGAACAUAGAGUUGCUGCGUCUCAACAACAAUGCGAUACAGGGUGGCCUGCGCACCAGCGAACUCCCGCGCACUCUGCGCUCCCUUGAUCUUUCUGAAAACCAUUUCACGGGUGAGGUCGACCUCUCGGCACUGCCGCCGCAGCUGCAGUACCUCAACAUUGGCCACAAUCACUUCAGCGGCCAGGUGAACCUCACGCAGCUACCCGAGUCUGUCAAGUUUGUGCACAUGGAGUAUAACAACUUCACCGGCGCGGCUGACCUCGUCGACCUCCCACUCGGCAUCCGUUUUAUCAUGGUCCACCACAACAACUGGGACUACCUCAUGCCCGCCCCGUGAGAUGGGCCAGCACCAUUUAAGGCGAAAAAGCCGGCGGAAGGGUGCGGCGUUCUUAUUGUGGUGCUCGUGGUGGCAGCCUCAGCUCUCCGUCUUGCUCACCCUCUGCAUCUGAGCCGUUCACCUCCGUCUUCGUCUCUCUCUUUCUCCCCAUGCCAGUGCGCACGUACGUAUCUGCUUUUGGUGGUGAUUAAGCGCGGGGGUGGCGUAGCCAGGCGGUGGCGGCAGGGUUGGGGGGCAUCAAGUCAACAUUGUGCCUGGUUUAUGAGCAGCGAGCACCUUUGGGCUGUAGCACGUGUUGAGGAGAGUAAUAUCCAGCGCAUUCUUGUGUGACUAUCAUUUCGUGCGCCAUGUUACCUUCUCCUGCUCGCCCUUUUUUUUCCUAACACCAUUCGGUUACUUUUUUUCUGCUGCUUUUAG
rnacentral:misc_RNA from 1 species